GGGCGUGUAGCUCAGUUGGCAGAGCAAUGGUCUUAUACACCAUCGGUCGCAGGUUCAAGUCCUGCCACGCCCA
rnacentral:tRNA from 1 species